GGCCUCGUAGCUCAGCUGACAGAGCACGCGCUAUACAAAAGCGUAUACAAAAGCAUUGGUUCGAAUCCCACCGAGGCCA
rnacentral:tRNA from 1 species